rnacentral:rRNA from 1 species
AGUUAGUGGCGGACGGGUGAGUAACGCGUGGAAAACCUGCCGUAUACUGGGGGAUAACACUUAGAAAUAGGUGCUAAUACCGCAUAACGGGAGAAGCCGCAUGGCUUUUUCCUGAAAACUCCGGUGGUACAGGAUGGGCCCGCGUCUGAUUAGCCAGUUGGCAGGGUAACGGCCUACCAAAGCGACGAUCAGUAGCCGGCCUGAGAGGGCGGACGGCCACACUGGGACUGAGACACGGCCCAGACUCCUACGGAAGGCAGCAG